CCUACGGGUGGCAGCAGUGGGGAAUAUUGGUCAAUGGACGCUAGCCUGAACCAGCAACGUCGCGUGAAGGAUGACGGCCCUCUGGUUUGUAAACUUCUUUUAUAUGGAAAUCAAGUGCAGUAUGUAUACUGCUUUGCAUGUACCUUAUGAAUGUGGAUCGUCUAAGUCCGUGCCAGCAGCCGCGGGAAUACGGAGGGUGCGAGCGUUAUCCGGAUUUAUUGGGUUUAAAGGGAGCGUAGGCGGGUUGUUAAGUCAGUUGUGAAAGCUUGCGGCUCAACCGUAAAAUUGCAGUUGAUACUGGUAUCCUUGAGUGCAGUAGAGGUAGGCGGAAUUCGUGGUGUAGCGGUGAAAUGCUUAGAUAUCACGAAGAACUCCGAUGGCGAAGGCAGCCUGCUGGACUGUAACUGACGCUGAUGCUCGAAAGUGUGGGUAUCAAACAGGAUUAGAUACCCUAGUAGUC
rnacentral:rRNA from 1 species